rnacentral:ncRNA from 1 species
UAAAUUGAGAGUUUGAUCCUGGCUCAGGACGAACGCUGGCGGCGUGCCUAACACAUGCAAGUCGAGCGAUGACGUGCUUACUUUGUAAGCAAGGAUUAGCGGCGGACGGGUGAGUAACACGUGGGUAACCUGCCUCAUAGAGGGGAAUAGCCUCCCGAAAGGGAGAUUAAUACCGCAUAAAGUAUGAAGGUCGCAUGACUUUUAUACCAAAGGAGUAAUCCGCUAUGAGAUGGACCCGCGGCGCAUUAGCUAGUUGGUGAGGUAAGGGCUCACCAAGGCAACGAUGCGUAGCCGACCUGAGAGGGUGAUCGGCCACAUUGGAACUGAGACACGGUCCAGACUCCUACGGGAGGCAGCAGUGGGGAAUAUUGCGCAAUGGGGGAAACCCUGACGCAGCAACGCCGCGUGAAUGAAGAAGGCCUUAGGGUUGUAAAGUUCUGUCAUAUGGGAAGAUAAUGACGGUACCAUAUGAGGAAGCCACGGCUAACUACGUGCCAGCAGCCGCGGUAAUACGUAGGUGGCAAGCGUUGUCCGGAUUUACUGGGCGUAAAGGAUGCGUAGGCGGACAUUUAAGUCAGAUGUGAAAUACCCGGGCUCAACUUGGGUGCUGCAUUUGAAACUGGGUGUCUAGAGU